rnacentral:lncRNA from 1 species
GAGAUAUGGGCUCACUGUCUGGCCCACACAAGGGAGGGUUCUUGGAACUUUUAAACCCAUUAGUGACAGGCUCUGUUUGUUAGAAGUGGCUCUGCACCCCAUCAGCCUGUGUCCUCAAGCAGGAGACUGCAGCACUGUACUGUAAAGUCAUGAUUCUCUGCCCCCGAUUUCCUAACGUCAGGAAAGAGACAGAGAUUGACACAAACUGCCAUCAGUUUGGAGAGAUAUAUGUGCAUGCAGUGUGUGUGUGUGUGUGUGUGUGUGUGUAUGUGUGUGUGUGUGUGUGUGUGUGUGUGUGUGUGUGUGUUUAAAAGGAGAUGUUCAAAAUUUGAUGUGCUAAAAGUCUCCGUGGAAGAACAAAGGAGAGGAAGCCUUUCUAGGUUUGUGCUUCCAGAUGUGCUCCAUGCUUUUCCAUGUACCUCCGGUCUCUGUGGAGCUUGUGAAUCAUACCAUCGCUGCCCAGCCUAAAAGAACCAGUUCCUGCUGCACUCCUGCUUCCUGCCACUUCCACUGAAGUGGGUGGAAAGGAAACGAUGGAACAGAACACUUAGCUUUGAACAGGAUCCUCGUCACAAACGAGUCCCAUCUUUACCCAGCUUCUACAGUCAGGCCCACCCCAGAAAGCAGAGUUUUCAGUACGGAAACCCAGCCACCUUCAGCCUAGCACAGACAGCCCCAUUUGAACCAAAAAUAGCAGGGUGAACUACGUUGAGGGAAUGCAACAUUAAAAGAACUUGAAAGUAACUUCUCUGGCAAAUAAGACUUUGAUUAAAUCUUUUCUCAAAAGAAAAAGAUAAAUGUAUAAAUUUUAGUUCCGGUAUUUUUUUUAUUCAUGCGAGUUUAAAUAACACUGUUCACCACCCAAAAUUACAAAAAUGACGGGCCCUCGAGGGAGCAUCUGUAAAAUAUCAUCAAGAACGAAGAUCUCCAGGCUUGAUGUUGCAAAGCUUCGUCCCUCAGACCUUGUAAUAUAAGGCCGUUCCUCUCCCAGGGCCACCAUCACUACAUUUACAUUUCUAUGGGGGAUUAUUUAAUGAAAAACAUGUUACGGUUUAGGCUGAAGGCCUAUUCUGGAUAGUUCUGCUUUGGGGAAAAAUGUUAUCAUUUAAUUUCCUUUCUGUAAGUUAAAACUAAUGAAGUGUGGUCCUGUCAGAGCAGACAGAGAUGCUCCGGGCAUGCCGAUUGGGUGUUCUUGCUUAUGCAGACCUGGCACUCCUGGUCUUGAGAGACAAAACGGCCUGAAGCCGAUGCUGUAUCUCCCAUUAGCCUGACUUUGCCUCACAUGAACCAAAGACUUCAAACUCCAUAUCGUAGAGAGCAUUCUGCUGUCGAAGGUGUGAAGGCUGCCACUGUACCUGCUGUGUGCGUGUGUGUGUCCGUGCCUGCCUGCGUGCGUGCGUGCAUGCGUGCGAGUGAGGUGUUUACAGACUCAGCAUCCCGAGAUUUCCGGGAGCUUCACAAGUCUCCUAACUUUACUGCCUCGUAGUCUUGAGGUGCAGCCACCUAAUCCCGAAUCCGCCUUUGCUGCAGAGCAGGUUACACAGUAUAAACCUGCUUACCCCAGUAUAAACCUGUUCACAAAUCUACCCCUGGGUGCUGGAAGGCGCACAGAGCAAAAGCUGGGUUUCACAUGGCUCAGCUAAAGCCAUGAGGGAGUCCGUACAGGGAGAACUGUGUCCUGUGGAUCUCACCGCGGAAUGAUGGGACCCAGCGUGGAAGCAGUGUCAAGUCGGAGGCUUGGACAAAUACACACCCGGUGAGGGAUGACAGACUCUGGGGCUCCCCUAUACCUAGCACUCAGUGUGGUAGUCCCCUGUUCUCUCUCGCCUGACACUUCCGGAAUGCAAGAGCAGAAUCUUGGGGGCUUUGCUAUCCUGACGUGCCAGAAAUGGGACAUUCUCAUUCCUGGUUCAUCUCUAUGCAUCUUUGAAAUAAACCAAAAUGUAAACCUUGCUACUUUUUUUUUUUCAAAGAAUCAUCUCUGAAAAGAAUUACUGUAAACCAAUGCCUAUAGUCAUUCUACCAAAAUAAACAGGAUUUUCACUGUG